AAAUAGCCCCGCAGGGAGCGCACGUGUCUCUCUCUGCGCGGGCCCCGGCCGGACCCAUGGGGGGGGGCCGGACGCCUGGGUUCCCUGCCGCCGCUGGCCGGCCUGGGCGGUGGUGGAGUUGGCGCUGAGGCCCCCCCGGGGGCGUUUAGGUGGUGGUGAUGUGUGGACCUGGUGCUAAGGCCCCUGGGGCAUCUGGCUGGAUUCUCGCCCAUGUCUAUCUCUGACAUGAGCCCAGUGGGGUGAGACCCCUGGGGUCUCUGGAUGGAGGGACCAGGACCAGAACAGUGCGGUGGCAGGACACUGUGAUACUUGGACUCAGCAAGGAGGCUCCUGGGGUGUCUGGUUUUCCAAGGAAAGGUGCUUGCUGGAUUUCGGCUUUGGUUACUCACCAGCACCCCCUCUGGCUGCGACGGAGACUGGAAUCCAGGGCCCUGCUCGGUGGGUGAUGGGACAGGCUGCUGGACUGAACAAUGGAUGGGGAAGUGAAAGGAGAAGUGGGGCGACUGCACAGCCCAGGCCUGCCUCACUGUUCAGUGCGGACAGGAGCCAGGGGCUGCGGAUUGGGAGUGAGGGGCACCCCAAGCAUCUUGCAGGGGAAGGACUUGAGCCUGGGGGUGUCAUGUAAAGAACAGGGAUGUUGCCUCAAUAAACAAUCCUGGAACAAA